UACGUAGGGGGCGAGCGUUGUCCGGAAUUAUUGGGCGUAAAGGGUACGUAGGCGGCCUUUUAAGUCAAGUGUGAAAUCUUGGGGCUUAACCCCAUUAAGCACUUGAAACUAAUAGGCUUGAGUAGUGGAGAGGUAAGUGGAAUUCCUAGUGUAGUGGUGAAAUGCGUAGAUAUUAGGAGGAAUACCGGUGGCGAAGGCGACUUACUGGACACAAACUGACGCUGAGGUACGAAAGCGUGGGGAGCAAACAGG
rnacentral:rRNA from 1 species